AAUUAUUUUUCGAAUCCUGUGGAGGAGAGCUCCCGUGGAGCAUUUAUGGUUGCUAUUCAAUAUAUGUCCCAUUUCAAUCAAUUUUCUGUUCCGUUUGUUGAUCACCAUUUCUUAUGCAAGAGUAUUACAUCGUCGCCAUCGUCUUUACAGUUUGUGGUCGCUGUGGAUCUCCACAGUUCGUGGUUGCAGUUCAUCCUUGUUGUUGCUUCUCCACAAGGUCCAGAUAUGCCCACUCUCAAGUCUCAUGUACUUCUCCAUCUACCCCACUCUCUCCUACUCCGAUCCAUCACAGAGAGGAAGAGACGUUGGGGAGAGAACUGUAGCUGAUUGCAUCCCAAGCCAAUUACACCGUAAACACUCCUUUAUAAUUCACUGGACCACAAGUUUUUAUUAUAUGAAGUACAAAGGCCAUCGUCUCUUGUGUGUGGUCCAUCCAAAUUAUCCCAGGCCAUCGUUUUUGUUAUAUGAAGUUCAUUUGACAAAAUAUGUUAUUAGUCAAUUUAUUCAGAUGAUGUAUUGAAUAAAGACCUUCACUUGGUGAUUCCUUUGACUCUUUUCAUUUUAUUCUUUGACUCUCUUGUUCAGUUUAUUUUUUUCAUUUUCUUAGUGAUUCCUGUGGACCACAUUCCAACUGUAAAAGACCUCCACUCUCUUGUGAUGCAUGAUAUCUAGUUCCUUGUCCCACAUCUCUUGUUAGGAAUGGAUCCAUCCAUUCACCGUGAUGCCUACUUCACAAAUCUUCUAAAUAACAAUGACUUUUUGAUGAGUGCCACAAAUGAACAAGAACUCUCUCCACCCCUUGUUGAGGUUAUUGAAGUUGAACUGAGUGGACGAAAAACACAAUGAGGUAAUAAUUUUAGUACUGAGGAAGAUUUGUUGCUUGUGGAGGGAUGGCUUGAAACUUCCUUAGAUGCAAUACAAGGAAAAGAUCAAAAGCACACGAUGUUAUGGAAAAGAAUUCAUAAAUAUUUUGAGGAAAACAAGAAAUUUGACUAUUUACGCAACUACACCUCUAAUGAAUCGGUGGUCGACGAUUCAACAAGCUACAAAUAAACUUUAUGGUUACUUGGUCCAAGUAGAAGGAAUGCAUCCAAGUGGGUUUAACGAGCAAGACAAGAUUGGCAAGACAAAGGUUAUGUUCCUGGAGUUAGAGAAUAAGUCUUUUAACUUUGAUCAUUAUUGGCGGGUGUUAAGAUUCCAUCCAAAGUGGGUGGAACAUAUGGACAUAGUGAAGCCGAAGAAGAAACCAAGUUCGAAUGAUUCGACACCAAAUUCAAUAAAUCUAGGCAAAGAUGAAGAUUUUCAUGUUGCAUUUUCAAAUUUGGAAUGACCAAUAGGUCGUAAAGCAGAAAAAGAGAAACAAAAGAGAAAAGAAAUGACAAACUCUGACUCUUUUGUGGUACCAAAUGAGAUGGCGGAAAUUAGAAAGAGUAAACUUGUGCUUAUACAAGAAGCAUGUGAUCAUGACAAUAUAAUGUUGUGUCUUAGGCAAGAGGAAGUGAGUCUUAGGCAAGACAAAGUGCGUAUUCAGAAGGAGAAGGUGCUACUUCAACAAGUGAAAGCACGGCUUGAAGAAAAGAAAGAAGAUCAAAGAAUUAUGACGUUAAAUACAAGUGUCAUGCCUCCAAUGCUACAACAAUAUUAUCUUCAACAACAAAUGGAAAUACUUGCAAGUCGUGCUGGGAAAAACUAGCUGUAGUGCAAUUUUAUGGAGUAAUGUUAUAUUUAUGUUUGUUGGAUUAAUCACUUCAG